GAUUGUUCUCUCUUGUCUCCCUGAAGAAACGCAUUCUAAAGGGACGCCACGUGUGAGCCGUGCACAAGUCAGUCCACGCACCUCCUCAGCGGUCAUUUGCGUCCUCCAGGCACUAACGAGCAAUAAUGCAUGUGGGAUACUCAUGUGAAUGAGUACAGGAUGAUAGGAGCAACAUCAAUCACUUUGCAAGCAUGAGGUACCAGCAUGAGGAGAAAAGCAAGCAUGCUAAGGAUGGCAGAAAGGAAAAAAAGGAUGACCGUAGGUGCUGGAUCACGCCACGGAGCUACUGUUCCAUCCUGUGAGAGCCUCCUUUGUAUAGUUUAUUUAAUACCUUUAUGGCUGGCCACGGCUCCUCUUCUGGUGGAUGGCAAAACUGUGCCCCCAACCAACCUGUCUCCCUCAGCGCCAGCAUCCCUCAGUCAACGAUUUGCCAUGUGGUCCCUAUCUUCUGGAAACGUGCACGUUGCACGUUCAUUUCAACAGCGAACAAUGAAGAAAUUACAAUUGUUUCCAUUCACGCGUCGCUUGAUGAGGGUCGCGGGAUAAUGGCAGCAGUGCAUGGAAAUCUAAAACUUCGCUGUUCCAGGGAAAGCUCCUACACAUGGAUAACUACAUCCUGAUUCAGAGGGUUUGCAGAAUAA